rnacentral:rRNA from 1 species
UACAGAGGUCCCAAGCGUUGUUCGGAUUCACUGGGCGUAAAGGGUGCGUAGGUGGCCGGUUAAGUCUGACGUGAAAUCUCCGAGCCUAACUCGGAAACUGCAUCGGAAACUAUCCGGCUCGAGGGUUGGAGGGGGGACUGGAAUACUUGGUGUAGCAGUGAAAUGCGUAGAUAUCAAGUGGAACACCAGUGGCGAAGGCGAGUCCCUGGACAAGACCUGACACUGAGGCACGAAAGCCAGGGGGAGCAAAACAGG